rnacentral:rRNA from 1 species
AUUGAACGCUGGCGGCAGGCCUAACACAUGCAAGUCGAGCGAGAGGCGGACGGGUGAGUAAUGUCUGGGAAACUGCCUGAUGGAGGGGGAUAACUACUGGAAACGGUAGCUAAUACCGCAUACCAUCAGAAGUGCCCAGAUGGGAUUAGCUAGUAGGUGGGGGAACGUCUCACCGAGGCUACGAUCCCUAGCUGGUCUGAGAGGAUGACCAGCAACACGGGACCUAGGACACGGUCCAGACUCCUCCGGGAGGCAGCAGUGGGGAUUAUUGCACAAUGGGCGCAAGCCUGAUGCAGCCAUGCCGCUGGUGUGAGGAAGGCCGUCGGGUUGUAAAGCACUUUCAGCGGGGAGGCGUUACCCGCAGAAGAAGCACCGGCUAACUCCGUGCCAGCAGCCGCGGUAAUAC